GAUGAACGCUGGCGGCGUGCCUAAUACAUGCAAGUCGAGCGAACAGACGAGGAGCUUGCUCCUCUGACGUUAGCGGCGGACGGGUGAGUAACACGUGGAUAACCUACCUAUAAGACUGGGAUAACUUCGGGAAACCGGAGCUAAUACCGGAUAAUAUAUUGAACCGCAUGGUUCAAUAGUGAAAGACGGUUUUGCUGUCACUUAUAGAUGGAUCCGCGCCUCAUUAGCUAGUUGGUAAGGUAACGGCUUACCAAGGCAACGAUGCGUAGCCGACCUGAGAGGGUGAUCGGCCACACUGGAACUGAGACACGGUCCAGACUCCUACGGGAGGCAGCAGUAGGGAAUCUUCCGCAAUGGGCGAAAGCCUGACGGAGCAACGCCGCGUGAGUGAUGAAGGUCUUCGGAUCGUAAAACUCUGUUAUUAGGGAAGAACAAAUGUGUAAGUAACUAUGCACGUCUUGACGGUACCUAAUCAGAAAGCCACGGCUAACUACGUG
rnacentral:rRNA from 1 species